UACGUAGGGCGCAAGCGUUAUCCGGAAUUAUUGGGCGUAAAGAGCUCGUAGGCGGUUUGUCGCGUCUGUCGUGAAAGUCCGGGGCUCAACUCCGGAUCUGCGGUGGGUACGGGCAGACUAGAGUGAUGUAGGGGAGACUGGAAUUCCUGGUGUAGCGGUGGAAUGCGCAGAUAUCAGGAGGAACACCGAUGGCGAAGGCAGGUCUCUGGGCAUUAACCGACGCUGAGGAGCGAAAGCAUGGGGAGCGAACAGG
rnacentral:rRNA from 1 species